UACGGGGGGGGCAAGCGUUGUUCGGAAUUACUGGGCGUAAAGGCUCGUAGGCGGCCAACUAAGUCAGACGUGAAAUCCCCUCGGCUUAACCGGGGACUGCGUCUGAUACUGGAUGGCUUGAGUUUGGGGAGAGGGAUGCGGAAUUCCAGGUGUAGCGGUGAAAUGCGUAGAUAUCUGGAGGAACACCGGUGGCGAAGGCGGCAUCCUGGACCAACACUGACGCUGAGUGAGCGAAAAGCCAGGGGGAGCAAACGGG
rnacentral:rRNA from 1 species